rnacentral:lncRNA from 1 species
CGACAGUGAGGACAUCGAGAACAAAAGAGCUCGUGCUGUAUGCUCUCCAGGGAUCAAGGUGGCAACAGGCUGUCCCUGCAGCCAGGCCCUCAUAUUUGAAGGAGGAAGCUGUCAUACAAUGAUUCCUGCUCUGCUGUAGAGAAAAUCCAAUCAGGGCAUUACCUGAUUGGGAACAUUGAUUUUUGCCCUAAUAGGUAUGGAUUAUCUGCCAGGCCCUGGCCUCCUUCUAGGUAUACUGCAGAGAGAAACCAGCAGAUAUUUUUCUCACACCAAGCUGGUAAGUUCAUCUAUUUUACCUUACAUAGUGACCAGGGCAGCUUCUGAUUAAUGCCGUUCAGCCAAUUUGGGAAUGUGGUUGCAGGAGGGGAGGGGGAGCCGUGACAGUGCUUCACAAAUAAUUCUGACUGAGAUAGCAGGAAAGGGGUGCUUUAGAGAAAAGUAGGAACAGAUAAAUUGUCGGUAGAAGUGGAUAUUUCAAAGGGCUAGUACAACAGGCAGACCUCCCUCCUUCCGCCUUGAGAUAGUUCAGUGGUUUGCCUUCAAGAUAAUUUUAUCUUAGGCUUCUUGGACCUCCAUCAGUAAGAAGGGAUGAUUUUACAAGGAGAACUGGUCCUGCCAGCUUUGAGUGGUUUCAGGGUAAUUUUAGGCAACAAGGAACACAUUCCACAAUGCCGCGUGGGAGGGAGGGUGCCUGACUGUGAGUCACAAGACUCAGGUCUGGUGGCGCCUCCACUGACAACAAUUAUAUAGUCACGAUCCGGGUCAAUUUCUCCAUCUUCAACGUGGAAUUCCUUCAACUGCCAUGUCCAAAGGAAGGACUCUUAUAAGAGAGUUCAAAUCAUUUAUAUUCUUUGGAAGAGAAACAGAGACCAUUAAGAAACGCCUUCAUAAGCUGACUGACGCCGUAGACACGAGCAAAAGAUCACAGAGAAGCAUCUUCGCAAGUGCCCCGCACGCCCUCGUCGUCCGCGUCCGUAGGGGAGGAAGAACAGGCGGUGAAAGAGGGCCUCCUCAGGCUAGUGGCCAUGGGCUUGGAGGCUGCGGAGGGCUGCGUCCACUGGGGACAUGGAAAAGGCUCCACGGACGCAGGGUGAAGAAGCGAGCCCCCGAGAAGGCAGGCGAGAGGAGCCGGGCUGCACCCGGCUCCGCUGGUGCGGCUCAGUGACGCCGCCCUCGGCAACUGCGCCAGCAACCUACCUUCAUUUAACUUUUAAUGUGUCUGUAUUUCAUGUACUCAACUAGAUUGUAAUUUAUUUCAAAGCAUGGCUCGUUUAUUACAUUUCCUCAAUCUGUCUCCAUCAUUCAUGUAUUUAAAACAUGUUUAUGGCUAUAGACUAUAUACCAAACACAAUGUUAGAUACUGGAGAAAAAUAUGUAUGAAAUAUUCCAGGCCACAAAAGGAUUUAUCAUCUAAUGGAAGAGUCAAAAAUAAAAAUAAAUAGGUAUACCA